rnacentral:rRNA from 1 species
UGGUACCUACGGGAGGCAGCAGUGGGGAAUCUUCCGCAAUGGGCGAAAGCCUGACGGAGCAAUGCCGCGUGAGGGAAGAAGGCCUUCGGGUUGUAAAACUCUGUCCUUAUCGAAGAGAGGUGGGUAUGUGAAUAAUGUACUCAUAGGACGGUAGAUAAGGAGGAAGCCCCGGCUAACUACGUGCCAGCAGCCGCGGUAAUACGUAGGGGGCGAGCGGUGGCCGGAAUCACUGGGCGUAAAGGGCGCGUAGGCGGUUUAAUAAGUCAGGAGUGAAAACUGAGGGCUCAACCCUCAGCCUGCCACUG